AACGAACGCUGGCGGCAGGCUUAACACAUGCAAGUCGAACGCACCGCAAGGUGAGUGGCAGACGGGUGAGUAACACGUGGGGAUCUGCCCAAUGGUACGGAAUAGCUCCGGGAAACUGGAAUUAAUACCGUAUGAGCCCGCAAGGGGAAAGAUUUAUCGCCAUUGGAUGAACCCGCGUCGGAUUAGCUAGUUGGUGUGGUAAAGGCGCACCAAGGCGACGAUCCGUAGCUGGUCUGAGAGGAUGCUCAGCCACACUGGGACUGAGACACGGCCCAGACUCCUACGGGAGGCAGCAGUGGGGAAUAUUGGACAAUGGGCGCAAGCCUGAUCCAGCCACGCCGCGUGAGUGAUGAAGGCCUUAGGGUUGUAAAGCUCUUUCGCCGACCAAGAUAAUGACGGUAGUCGGAGAAGAAGCCCCGGCUAACUUCGUGCCAGCAGCCGCCGAAAAAC
rnacentral:rRNA from 1 species